rnacentral:lncRNA from 1 species
AUUCCCCCCCCCCCCCCCCCCCCCCCCCCAAAUAUCAUUCUGAACCAGUAUGUAUCAAUAAAAGAAGAGAGAAGAGAUAGUUAGUAAAUGCGUCUCGAUUUUUUUAAUUAUAAAAAAGUACAUAAAAAUUGAUAUGAGAUUAAGAAAAUUAAAGGAAAAAUUGCAAAAACCACCUUUGAAGUACGGUGGUUGUUGCAAUUAGACCUUCAAACUCCCGUUUGUAAAAGUUGAACUCCUAAACUUCUAAGUGUAAAAAUUGGACCAUAGUAGAAAUUGGAUCCACAAAUGAUAAAAAUUGAACUCUUAAACUUUACAUGAAGGUUUAAUUCUUAAAAUUGAAAGUUUAAGGGUGUAAUUACAACUGUUAAGGGUAGUUUUUGCAAUUUGUCCAAAAUUAAUUCUUUCUAAACAAGUUUGUGGAUAUAAGUGAAGAACAAAGCUAAUACCAUUGUUGAUUCGCUUAUAGAAUUAAUAGAAAACUCAAGUGUUAGGUAAUUGUAUAUUCUUUGCUUUGAUAGUGGAGUCGAGAACAUUUUUAAUAUUCUUAAAGGUAACAAUCCUUCCUUUUACAAAUUCCAAGUUCUUGUAACUUGUUAUCUCCAAGGAACAAAAACUAUAUUCUUCCUCUGCUCUAAAUCAUUAUGAGAUACUUUUUUUUGUUGUUACUUUAAAUGUAAUUCAUUUGUUAGUUGAAAAAAAUUUAGGACUUACGCUACUAAGCGGAGAAAAUUUGAUAUUCAUACUAACUCUUUAAAGAUUAAGAAAGAACUGAACAUUCCAUUGUUAAGAGAAGAAAACAUUCUUUCACUUCUUUUAAACGCACCAUCAUUUCUAGGAUAAGAUGUUGAUGUAUCUUCUGGAGAAAUAAAGUUUUAUACAAGAACUUUUUGGAAAAAGAACACAUUUUUUAAUCUUGAGGUUUGACUUGCAUUGCAUAUAAGUUCCAAUUUUCAAACUGAUGAGGAGCAGGAAUUUAAGAAAUUUUGUGGUGGGUAAUGUAGCAUUCAUUAUAGGACAUGUUGUCUUUCAAACCUUGGAGCCCAUUCCUCUCUUUCUUCAUUCUUAAAUUUAUCUCCCAUCUCAAGAAGCUUUGUUCCAUUGUUCAUUUUCAUAUUUCCCUUUGAGUUUCGAUUUCAAAUACCUUAAUCUAUAGACGUGAUUUCACAUGGAUGGAAUCCCCUUUUUGUAAAGGGGGACGGCAGGUGUGUUCUUUCAUUUUUUUUUCCAAUGAAAGCUCUUAUUUUCAUUAAAAAAGAACAACAAAAAUUGUCUCCCAUCCUGAUCAACUUCUAAGUUGGAAUUGACUGUUGUCCAAGAAAUACUUUCACAAACAUUGUUGUAUCCAAAGGAUGCUUGGAAUAUGUCUCUCCUCUUAAGUUGGUACGUUCUCUGUAAAGGAAGUGAGUAAAUUUGAUGCAUUUAUUCUUUCUUUUGUCCUUUUUAUAUGGCUGCCUUUAGAAAGUCCUACUAUAAGUUUCCAACUUUGAUUUGUGUUGGUCUAGCAAAGCUGUUUGGUCUAAAUUUUAAUGAGGUUUUUGCCCUCCUUUCGGGCAGCUAUGGUGCGAAAGAAACUUGUCACUCCUUUUGAACACCAAACUAAGGGAGGUGUUUUGAGAUCUUGUCACUCUUUGUCCAUUCCUUGUUAAUUAUUUUGUAAUUUUAGCUUAUCUCAGAUUGUCUCUAGUUUGGCAUCUUGUUUGUAACCCUUUUGGUGUGAGGAGAUAUCUCAUCUCCUUCUCUUUUUGUAAAUCACCUUUUGAUAAUGAAAAGUUUGUUUCUUAUAUAUAGAUAUAUAUAAAAGGAACAUUUUUUUAUGGAUGAAUGGUGUAUAACUUCAUACUCCAUAACAAUGCUUGUUUGCAAAGCGCAAGGCGCGCUCUAAGACACAAACUUUUUAAUCGCCUCAAGGCGAUGGGUGACAAAAAGAUGUUGCCUGAUCGAAGCGAGGUACAACUAUUAAAAUAAUUCAUAAUAAUAAUAUAAAUGAAAAAUACAUAAGAUGAGAUAAUAUAAAGAUAUAAAUUGCAAAGAAGAGACAAGACCUAAGGAUUCGUGAGAAUCCGAACAUUCCAACCAAGUUGACACCCUUCUAAUUUUGUUAUUUUAAAUUGAUUAACUUAAUUAUUUAGAAAUGUUUGACUUAAAAAUCAAAUUCUUUGGAUAGGAUUUUGAUAAUGAUUAACUAAAAAAUAAAAUAUAUAAAAAUUUACCUAUGUUUGAUUAUGUUUAAUAAUAUCAUACUUCAUUUAUCUUGAAUAUGACUAAUUUGUAAGUUAAAUAUUUUCAAUAUAGCUCAUUUUAAAUCAAAUAUAAUUUAAAAUUAAUUAUUAAAAAAACUAUUUCAAAUUAAAUUUAAAUUUAAAUUUAAAUUUGGACCACAAUAAAUAUAGUUUAUUUUAUUAAUAUUAGUUUAUUAAGUUUUAAAUUCAAGUUCAUCUCAUUUUCAAUUAUUUCUUUUUUUAAAAACUAUUUUUUCUUCAAUUUUGAAAUUGAGAUGGGACUAAACUUAAAAUUAUUAUAAUUAUUAUUUUGCAUAUUCUUUCAAUUAUAUGCAAAGAUGAAGUAGCCUUGCAUGGGUCUACAAUUAUUUAUUUAUUAUUAUUCUCUUCAUUUUUCUUUUUCUUUUUGUUAGAGUAACUUUAAGCUAAGUGUUUUUCCUCGAUAAUUUAAUGUUAAUUUUAAUAAUAGAGAGAAAAGUUCAUAGUACAAGAAAAUUGUAUAAGUUAGUGCACCGGACAUCUCAACUAGGUUGACAUCUUUAUAGCAUCUUCAUCAUUUUAUUAAUAUUUUUAUUUUCAAAAAAGAAAAAAUUAAUUAUAUUUUUAUAUAGGUGCCUAAGAAUUAUUGCAUAAAUGACUUUGUUACUACUAGAUUAGUUACAAUCACACUCAACUUUUAACUUGACCAGUCACUUUUGUGGUUUGUCAAGUGUUGUAAUCGGGCUUUACACUUGUGACUUGUUAAUCGAUAAAAAACUUUUCCUCAUUCAAAACAUGAAGUCUCAAAGAGGGAAUGUUGAAGAAAUCUUUUGAAUAGCAAAUGAGAGUUGGAAAAGUAAAACUCAAAGAGAAAAGAAUGGAACAUUCAUCUUCGAACUACUUUUGAACUUUUGAGUUGUUCUAACCUUGCAAAUUCCGUAUUCAAAUUCUAAUAUUCUGUCAUGUUCAUUGUUUUUUCUUGAGUAAUUCACUAAUUGUAAAAGCUGUUUUUCUUUAACAAUUAAAUAGACAGCCAUUGUCAUUGUUGGCAAUGAAUAUUGGUUACUUUUAGUAUGAAGGCAUUUAUGAGUUUCUUAUGUGAUGGUUGAUAUUGCUACUAUGAAUGAGUUAUGAGUUCCUCAUAUAUUUACUUUAAUUCUUUUCUUUUUAUACUCUUAUAUCUUAUGUAUUUUAGAGAUGUGGAGUACCUUUCAUCUUGUGUAGACAUUAUGUGUGGGUUAAUUUACCUUACAAUGGUAGUGGUUAAACAUCCUAUGUUAGGGGCAAUUAUUCAAUUUUUUUUAUAAUUGGAGUUUCAAUAUGAUGUCUAUAUCUAAAAUCGAGGACAUAUCGAGGGAGGUAUGUGUAUUAGAAUGGAGAAAGAGUGUUAUUUGGCUUCAUGGGUGGACUUUGGAAGGGGUUAAACUUGUGUACACUGAUCAAGGAUUAACAUAUAUGUCGACAUGUGUAUAUCUAUAAAAAUAAAUUUUAUAAGUUGCAUGACAUAAAUAUCCAUCAAUAUUGAUAUUUUAUCGAUACAUCUGUGAUAUAUUUGUUAAGGUUGAAAUCUCAAUAUCGAUGUUUUAAUCCUUGAUACUAAUGAAAACGAAGUUGAGUCUUCUAAACUUGUGAAGCUUUUUUCUCUCUCUUGGGAACCUCUAAACAUGUGAAAUUAAUUAAUAUUGAGCACUUGGAAGCCACCUUAAAUAAGGUGGAACAUCACUUUAGAUGUUCGAAUGCAUUAACAAUGAAGAGAUACAUAUGGUAAAAGAUAUAGAUGUUGAAGAGAGUGAUACUAGUGAUAGAAGUGUAGCCUUGAAGUUCGAAAAAUCAUAGAUAGUGACCAUGAAGGCGUAGGACACACUUUCCCAUUUUAUUAUCAUUAUUUUUUAAAAUACAUAAUUGAAAGUGGAGGGACUUGAGCUUCUGACAUGUUGAUCAAGAGUCUUUUGUUUUUCAGCUGAGCAUAAUCCUUUCAAGUGAUUGAUGGUACAUGAAGAGUAAAUAACUAAUUUAGGAAAUGUUUGGAGCAAGAGGUGAAAUAUUGAACUUCCAGGAGCUGUAAAGUUGUGUACUCUUAUGAUCCAAGGUAUUACAAUUUUUUUAGUAGCAGAGCCCACGAACUCUUUACGCUAAAUAAGAAGUGGGGUUCACGUACUCCCCAACUUCUACUCCCACUACUUGGUCCAAACAAUCUCUUUAGGCUUUAUGUGUUUGGCUCAAAGAUUUUGCGAGUUCAUGUACUAAAAAGAUAUAAUGUAUUUUUAUAUUUUUAUUCAAACUCCUUUCAUAAUGGACCAUAGAAGUUCACAAUUCUGCUCUUUCUUCCCAACCGCUCAUGCAUUUGAAUGGAUGAAUUAAUAGAAGUUACCUGUCAUCUGUACUUUCUUCGUUACCAUUGGACUACGCCGUACCAAAUUCCCAGUGAUGUCUACAGCUCC